rnacentral:rRNA from 1 species
GCUCAGGACGAACGCUGGCGGCGUGCUUAACACAUGCAAGUCGAACGAUGAAGCCCUUCGGGGUGGAUUAGUGGCGAACGGGUGAGUAACACGUGGGCAAUCUGCCCUGCACUCUGGGACAAGCCCUGGAAACGGGGUCUAAUACCGGAUAUCACUCUUGCAGGCAUCUGUGAGGGUCGAAAGCUCCGGCGGUGCAGGAUGAGCCCGCGGCCUAUCAGCUUGUUGGUGAGGUAAUGGCUCACCAAGGCGACGACGGGUAGCCGGCCUGAGAGGGCGACCGGCCACACUGGGACUGAGACACGGCCCAGACUCCUACGGGAGGCAGCAGUGGGGAAUAUUGCACAAUGGGCGAAAGCCUGAUGCAGCGACGCCGCGUGAGG